AUUGUCCAGACCGGCGUUGAAAUAUUGACAAGCCGAGGGUGAAAGCCGCAGUUUACACUGAGCAGUAACAAAGUAAAGUACACGAGUACCCGGCGCAGACGAUCACAGCAUCCAAGAUGAAGGUAGCCGUUAUCGCACUCUUACUGUUGGUGAUUCUUUCGGUUGAGUUUACGGAUGCAGAUCCAUGUUUAACCGGGGAAGUCGUUCUCGCUGGAAAAAUGCAAUGUAAAGUAUUUGGUCAAACCGUGUCGUGUCUGUCGAAGUCGUUUAUUUGUGACGGAGAGUGCGACUGCGAGAGCGAUUGCCAGGAUGAGCUCGAGGGGAACUGUAAAUGGAAGAACUAAAAGCGACGGACACGUGCCAAUCGUAAAAAGCGAGGAGCGAGCAAGUGGAAUAAAACCACUUAUCCAAAAAAGGAGAGUCUUGAUUUCCCUGUACCUGAACAGUCACAUGAUUAAACCCUAAUUCAACCGA